UACAGAGGUCUCAAGCGUUGUUCGGAAUCACUGGGCGUAAAGGGUGCGUAGGUGGCGUGGUAAGUCAGAUGUGAAAGCCCGGGGCUCACCCUCGGAACUGCAUCCGAUACUACCAUGCUAGAGAACUGGAGGGGAGUCUAGAAUUCACGGUGUAGCAGUGAAAUGCGUAGAUAUCGUGAGGAAUACCAAAGGCGAAGGCCGGACUCUGGACAGUUUCUGACACUGAGGCACGAAGGCUAGGGGAGCGAACGGG
rnacentral:rRNA from 1 species